AGCAGUAGCCACGGGAAUACAGAGGGUGCGAGCGUUAAUCGGAUUUACUGGGCGUAAAGCGUGCGUAGGCGGCUUUUUAAGUCGGAUGUGAAAUCCCUGAGCUUAACUUAGGAAUUGCAUUCGAUACUGGGAAGCUAGAGUAUGGGAGAGGAUGGUAGAAUUUCAGGUGUAGCGGUGAAAUGCGUAGAGAUCUGGAGGAAUACCGAUGGCGAAGGCAGCCAUCUGGCCUAAUACUGACGCUGAGGUACGAAAGCAUGGGGAGCAAACAGGAUUAGAUACCCCGGUAGUCCCUGUCUCUUAUAC
rnacentral:rRNA from 1 species